rnacentral:lncRNA from 10 species
AUCUGCAUAAGGGCACCUGCCUCACAGAGCAGCUUUGGGUCUCGUAAACGGACGGCACAGAUGAUGGGGAAGCCGGGCAUCACGGAGAGCUGAGAAGACUCGCUUGUUCACACUUACUCGAAAGCAGAAGAGGCCUGGGAACUUCAGCUGGCGACUCUGGUGUUUCUGACUUUGGCUAUCAGCAAACACUGCUGGAGGCUCUGCCCCGUCCACACCCAGCUUCUGUGAGCACGGAGGAGGCAUAAUCUGCAAAGUCUGACACAGGCCAUGCCUAACCAUCCUUGACUGGCUACCUCCAGUGACAUAAAACUGAGAAGCAAAGACACCCAGGAGGCAAGGCUGCAGUCAUUUAGGAGAGUGGACGGAUGCCAGGGCUGUGCUGCCUGCAGCCUUUGUGGGGCUCAGUGACCAGAGGAGCAGCCCAUGCCAAGCCUAGUCCCCAGGGAUGCUGCCUGCGGUGCUCACGCAUCUUAUACAGGGACACAGAGGAACUCUGGGCUCCACCCUGCAGCCUCUGCUCCAGCACGCGGUGGUCCCAGGAGAUGUAGAACCAGCCCUUCCUCUGCAGUUGCACUGGCCCCACCUUCGCUUCCGGGACCACAGAGCCCCUGGAGCCUGCACGCCACGGAGUCUCCCACUGAGGAGUGAGGAGGCCUCUUGUGGGGACAGAUCUGGAAUGAGUGGCAUCCAAACCUGACUCAUAUUUCCAACUUUAUUAAUUUUUGCAAGACUUCGGAGGGUGCUCUGUGGCGAUUAAUAUUGCUGAGCUGAGCACAGCUGCAGUACUUUCCUGUAAAACUGACUAAAGGAGAAGUUGGUGUCUUCCUCAUACAAGAAAUACAUAAAUCAGUUAAAAAUAGUUCUCCGAGCGGAUAUGAUGAUGUCGUGGCCGUCACAGGAAACACAUGAAUCAGCCUCAUCCUCAGUUCCAGGGAAGUGGGGACAGUCGGUGGUCCUUGGACCCCUCUUGGGGCGCGUGGGUGAGGCAGGGUCCCUCUGGCUUUACCUCAUACCCGGACUGGCAAAGCUGCCUGGGAGGACAACUAAAACCAUGCUCCUUUGAUUCUGUGGACAUUGCUAAUUGCUGGGCGUUCAUUUCUUGAAUUCAGACCUUCUCAUGAACCAGAGGAGCUGGCUCAGAAAAAUGCCGGUGACGCAUGGGCCUGAACUGGUCAGUGCAGCUCAGAGAUGCUCGCCGUGGGGGACGUGCAGUUUGCCUGUGGGCCAGUUGUCCACCCGUCACCGUUACCCCGCUGAGGAAGCUGUGGGUGCCACCCAGAGAGCUUGGGUACAACACGGUCUCUGCUUUACUCAUAAAAAGCCAAGACCUAUGUGGUCAUGGA